GAGCCCGGCUUCUCUACCAAAGCAAAAAACGUGGAAUUCUGGAAAACGACAUUCUCCUGGGCGAUUUUGCCGAGCAAAACCUCAAAAAAAUGAGCGAGCCCGAGCUGAAGGCCUACGAUAAGCUCAUCAACGGAGAACACAUGGAAUGGGACCUCUUCUACUAUCUUUCCAACAAGAAAAGCCCGCCGGAAGACGUGGAAAGCUGUCAGGUUUACCAAAAAGUCAAGAAGUUCGUCGACGACAAGCGAGUGCCGAAAUCAUGAUAAUUUGAUAAUUUUUUGCCGGAAUUUCCUCAAUUUUCCCCUGAAAAUCUCGAAUUUCCUUUUCUCUCUGUACAUUUUUUAGGUUUACCGUUGAUUUUUUUACUAUGAAAAGGUGAUUUUUGUCCUCAAAUUUCUUGAAAAAUGCGUGAAAAUUCGCUUGAAAAAUAUUUGAAAUUGUUUAAUUCUCAUUUUUGACAGUUUUCUGCUAUUUUCCAUGAAUUUUCGGCCAAAAAAUCUCGAAAUUCGUUGGAUUUUGCAGAUUCUCACCAAAAAAAAACGCAUUUUUCUGUCCAUUUUCAAAGAAUUAAUUCUUAUUACGCUAAACAACACGCGUCUGUGGAAUUUCGGAGCGUCGUUGUUCAACAUUUUUACACUUUUUAAUGCUUAUUUUCCAUUUUAUUUGAGAAUUCAGCAAUAAACUUUAUAAAUGUUAUGUUUUAGAACUCGGAAAAUGAUAUUUAAUCAAUAUUUUGUAAUAAUAAUAACAAAAAGCUUGCAGAAUCCGCCGAAAUUUCCAUGACAAGUCGAAUUUUUCAACGAUUCUUCAGUGUUUCGACAAAUUUGAGGAGCCUGGAACGCUGCUUAGCAGUUCCCCGGAGAGAAGAUUGAUGCAAAAAU
rnacentral:sRNA from 1 species